UGCGCAGGCGGUUUGUUAAGACAGGUGUGAAAUCCCCGGGCUUAACCUGGGAACUGCGCUUGUUACUGGCAGACUUGAGUGUGGCAGAGGGGGGUGGAAUUCCAGGUGUAGCAGUGAAAUGCGUAGAGAUCUGGAGGAACACCGAUGGCGAAGGCAGCCCCCUGGGUUAACACUGACGCUCAUGCACGAAAGCGUGGGAGCAAACA
rnacentral:rRNA from 1 species